rnacentral:snRNA from 1 species
GUGCUCUCUUCAGCAGCAUAUAUACUAAAAUUGGUAUGAUACAGAAAAGAUUAGCAUGGCCCCUUGCAAGUAUGACACCCAAAUUCAUGAAGCAGUUCAUAUAUUC